UUAGCAUGGAAUAAUGAAAUAGGACGUGCGGUUCUAUUUUGUUGGUUUCUAGGACCGCCGUAAUGAUUAAUAGGGACAGUCGGGGGCAUCAGUAUUCAAUUGUCAGAGGUGAAAUUCUUGGAUUUAUUGAAGACUAACUACUGCGAAAGCAUUUGCCAAGGAUGUUUUCAUUAAUCAGGAACGAAAGUUAGGGGAUCGAAGACGAUCAGAUACCGUCGUAGUCUUAACCAUAAACUAUGCCGACUAGGGAUCGGACGGUGUUAUUCUUUGACCCGUUCGGCACCUUACGAGAAAUCAAAGUGCUUGGGCUCCAGGGGGAGUAUGGUCGCAAGGCUGAAACUUAAAGGAAUUGACGGAAGGGCACCACCAGGAGUGGAGCCUGCGGCUUAAUUUGACUCAACACGGGGAAACUCACCAGGUCCAGACACAUUAAGGAUUGACAGAUUGAGAGCUCUUUCUUGAUUAUGUGGGUGGUGGUGCAUGGCCGUUCUUAGUUGGUGGAGUGAUUUGUCUGCUUAAUUGCGAUAACGAACGAGACCUUAACCUGCUAAAUAGUCAGGCCCGCUUUGGCGGGUCGCAGGCUUCUUAGAGGGACUAUCGGCUUCAAGCCGAUGGAAGUUUGAGGCAAUAACAGGUCUGUGAUGCCCUUAGAUGUUCUGGGCCGCACGCGCGCUACACUGACAGAGCCAACGAGUAUUUUUCCUUGUCCGGAAGGUCUGGGUAAUCUUGUUAAACUCUGUCGUGCUGGGGAUAGAGCAUUGCAAU
rnacentral:rRNA from 1 species